AUGCACGCUGGCGGCGUGCCUAAUACCUGCAAGUCGCGCGAACAGACGAGGAGCUUGCUCCUCUGACGUUAGCGGCGGACGGGUGAGUAACACGUGGAUAACCUACCUAUAAGACUGGGAUAACUUCGGGAAACCGGAGCUAAUACCGGGUAAUAUAUUGAACCGCAUGGUUCAAUAGUGAAAGACGGUUUUGCUGUCACUUAUAGAUGGAUCCGCGCCGCAUUAGCUAGUUGGUAAGGUAACGGCUUACCAAGGCAACGAUGCGUAGCCGACCUGAGAGGGUGAUCGGCCACACUGGAACUGAGACACGGUCCAGACUCCUACGGGAGGCAGCAGUAGGGAAUCUUCCGCAAUGGGCGAAAGCCUGACGGAGCAACGCCGCGUGAGUGAUGAAGGUCUUCGGAUCGUAAAACUCUGUUAUUAGGGAAGAACAAAUGUGUAAGUAACUAUGCACGUCUUGACGGUACCUAAUCAGAAAGCCACGGCUAACUACGUG
rnacentral:rRNA from 1 species